rnacentral:rRNA from 1 species
CCUACGGGAGGCAGCAGUGGGGAAUAUUGGACAAUGGGCGCAAGCCUGAUCCAGCAAUGCCGCGUGGAUGAAGAAGGUCUUCGGAUUGUAAAGUCCUUUCGGCGGGGACGAUGAUGACGGUACCCGCAGAAGAAGCCCCGGCUAACUUCGUGCCAGCAGCCGCGGUAAUACGAAGGGGGCUAGCGUUGCUCGGAAUGACUGGGCGUAAAGGGCGCGUAGGCGGUUUGGUCAGUUAGACGUGAAAUUCCUGGGCUCAACCUGGGGACUGCGUUUAAGACGGCCAGGCUUGAGUGUGAAAGAGGGUCGUGGAAUUCCCAGUGUAGAGGUGAAAUUCGUAGAUAUUGGGAAGAACACCGGUGGCGAAGGCGGCGACUUGGUUCAUUACUGACGCUGAGGCGCGAAAGCGUGGGGAGCAAACAGGAUUAGAUACCCUGGUAGUCCACGCCGUAAACGACGUGUGCUGGAUGUUGGGUGACCUAGUCACUCAGUGUCGUAGCUAACGCGAUAAGCACACCGCCUGGGGAGUACGGCCGCAAGGUUGAAACUUAAAGGAAUUGACGG